AGUACCAGAGAGCUGUGGUGAAAGACUAGAGUUUUAGGAGAGCUGAACUUGGGGAGGAGAGUGGCCGCUUGCAGCUGGCAUAGAGAACUUCCUAUGCCCAUGAGUUCCACCAGGACCCACUCCUCCAGGAAGCCCUCCUACACCACACUAUUUGGAAGGCCACUGGGGUUGGGGUCCUGCUGCCCCAUAGGCCCUGCUUUCUCUCCCAUGGCCCUUCUCCAGCAAGGACAGUGGGUCAGGCUCAUGGAAUAGCUGCAGAAGCCAUACCUCAUCAGGCCUCGGUUUCUCCAUCUGCCAAAUACGAAAAGGAAUCCUUGGCCUGGCUUCCUCCUAGGAGGAAAGGGGCAGGGGGGCUAUCAACAAAUCGACAGUGUCCCGUGGGGCUGGGGUGGGGCACCGCCUGAUGGUACAUGUCUGGGCUGCUGAGGGUCCUCAUGCUCCCUCCUUUGCAGGAGGGGAUGUGCCGUGAAAGUGGCUCCUGGUCAGCUGUCCUGGCCAUCCCACAGUCCCGGAGGAGGUCAGCAGACUUCAGCCAGGGUCUCAUGGAGCUGUAGGUGAUGCUGAGCAAGUCACUGCUCCUCUUGGGGAAGGCUGGGUGGCAGCAGGGACCUCAGGCUUAAGGCCUCAACCUCUGUGCCUGCUUCUCUGAGACUCAGUUUCCUCAUCUGUCAACAGGGAACACAAUGGCCCCACCCCAUGCAGACAGUAGGGCAUCCCCAGGAAGAGUCUCAGGGCUGGUGACAGCCUGAGAAGUGAAAGGGAGAAGCAGGACGCUGAGCAACGUUGGAGGAGAAGCAAGAUAACACUGUGCUUAGUGAAGGGGCUCCUAGCUUCACCACUGGCUGGCACAUGACUGGACCGCUCUGUGCCUCAGUUUCCUCAUCUGUGAAAAGAAGAGAGUUAGUGCCCACUUCAUUAGGCUGUCCGAUGAAAUCGGCUAAUGUAUACAAAACACUUAGAACAACGCCUGGCACCGGUGGAGAUCAACAAACAUCAGCAGUCUACCCAAAAGAAUUGAAAGCAGGAACGUGAACAGAUAUUUGCAUACCCGUGUUCUUUUGUUUGUUUGUUUUUGUUGUGAGACAGGGUCUUACUCUGUUGCCCAGGCUGGAGUGCAGUGGUGCAAUCAUGGCUCACUGCAGCCUUAACCUGCCAGGCUCAGGUGGUUCUCCCACCUCAGCCUCCCAAGUAGCUGGGGCUACAGGUGCACCCCAUCACACCUGGCUAAUUGUUUGUAUUUUUGGUGGAGACAGGGUCUCACUAUGUUGCCCAGGUUGAUCUUGAGUUCCAGAGCUCAAGCGAUCCACCCGCCUGGGCCUCCCAAAGUGCUGGGAUUACAGGCAUGAGCCACCACACCUGGUAUACACACCCAUGUUUUAUAGCAGCACUGUACACAGCAGCCAAGAGGUAGCAGCAAUCCCAGUGUGCACAGAGAGAUGAAUGAAUGCACAGUGUAGCCCAUCCAUACAAUGGAAUAUGAUUCAGCCUCAAAAAGGAAGGGAAUUCUGAUACCUGCUACCACAUGAAUGAAUCUUGAAGGCAUUAUGCUGAGUGAAAUAAACCUGACAACGCCCUCCUGGCAGAUGCAGACACAAAAGGAUAAACGCUGUGUGACUCUAUUUAUUUGCAGUACAUAGAAUAGUCAAGACCACAGAGACGAAAGGUAGAAUGGCGGUUGCCAGGGCCCGGAGGAGAGGGAAAGAGGAGUUAGUGCAUAGUGGGUAGAGUUUCCGUUUUGCCAGGUGACGAUUUCUGCAGGUGGAGGGUGCUGUUGGUUGCACGACCCUGUGAAUAUACUUAAUGCCACUGAACUGUGCACUUAAAAGAUUAUAAAUUGCAUUAUGUAUAUUGUACCAUAAUAAUUUUUAAACAGUCAGCUGUCAUUGCUCUGGCAGACAGAAGGGAGGGAACAUCCCAUGUGUCGUAGCCUCUGAGGCCCUGGGUUGC
rnacentral:lncRNA from 1 species